GGUUAACCGGGAAAAAAAAUCCUCUCACGGUACAAAGUUCAGGGCCAACUCUGCGAUCUUAUCUGCUUCCCUUCCUCUGGAUCCCCAGCAGGUCUUUGUUUCGUUACACGAAAUUAUAUCCAACUGUAAUAACGCUGAGUUUUCUAGCAAAACAGCAAGAGCACGAUUAAAAGCAACAAAGGUAAAAACUUCACGAAUCAAGAGGAACGCUAAUUACAUGAUUAUCAAAGGAAACAGUCAGCAGAGAAGAAGGUUACGUCUACCAUAUGGUCGCUUGGAAACCGGCCAUAAUUUUUCUCAAGUAACGACAAGCGAGAAAAACCAAAAGAAAAUAAAAUAAAUGACCAGCGAAUCGGCUUAGCCGAGCCCGUGGCUAUGCUCGGUGAAUUGUUGCAAGGAAACAAAGGGGCCAAUUUCCAUAAGAAACGUCUCACGAUCAUGGCUGCAUUUGCUGCUGGACGGUUGGUGCCAGAGGAUAUGUAGAGAUGUUACCCUGUAACUCUUCUUGACUCGGAUAAGAGGAGGAUGGAUGGCGAAGAGUAAAGACCCAAGGAAGAGGAGUGAACGAGGAUCGACAGUCGAGUCGGACGAGUCUUACCAGCACCAAGUAUCUUACCUUUCCUCGAACCACAAUUCUGCCUGGAGCCACAGACUAUAGCUGAUAAUAAGAAUAUGUCUAUAGUACGUUCAUGCUCAUGCGUUACUAUAGCAAAAACAGUAAAAAGUGCAUAUUCAAGGGGAAGCCAAUGGCGAAUAGCGAGUAGCGAGCAAGGCACACCGUUGCACCUGUAUC